UACAGAGGUCUCAAGCGUUGUUCGGAUUCAUUGGGCGUAAAGGGUGCGUAGGCGGCGCGGUAAGUCGGGUGUGAAAUCUCGGAGCUUAACUCCGAAACUGCAUUCGAUACUGCCGUGCUAGAGGACUGGAGAGGAGACUGGAAUUUACGGUGUAGCGGUGAAAUGCGUAGAUAUCGAGAGGAACACCAGUGGCGAAGGCGAGUCUCUGGACAUUUCCUGACGCUGAGGCACGAAAGCCAGGGGAGCAAACGGG
rnacentral:rRNA from 1 species